rnacentral:rRNA from 1 species
CGCUGGCGGCAGGCCUAACACAUGCAAGUCGAACUGUAACAGGAAUCAGCUUGCUGAUUCGCUGACGAGUGGCGGACGGGUGAGUAAUGUCUGGGAAACUGCCUGAUGGAGGGGGAUAACUACUGGAAACGGUAGCUAAUACCGCAUAACGUCGCAAGACCAAAGAGGGGGACCUUCGGGCCUCUUGCCAUCGGAUGUGCCCAGAUGGGAUUAGCUAGUAGGUGGGGUAAAGGCUCACCUAGGCGACGAUCCCUAGCCGGUCUGAGAGGAUGACCAGCCACACUGGAACUGAGACACGGUCCAGACUCCUACGGGAGGCAGCAGUGGGGAAUAUUGCACAAUGGGCGCAAGCCUGAUGCAGCCAUGCCGCGUGUAUGAAGAAGGCCUUCGGGUUGUAAAGUACUUUCAGCGGGGAGGAAGGGAGUAAAGUUAAUACCUUUGCUCAUUGACGUUACCCGCAGAAGAAGCACCGGCUAACUCCGUGCCAGCAGCCGCGGUAAUACGGAGGGUGCAAGCGUUAAUCGGAAUUACUGGGCGUAAAGCGCACGCAGGCGGUUUGUUAAGUCAGAUGUGAAAUCCCCGGGCUCAACCUGGGAACUGCAUCUGAUACUGGCAAGCUUGAGUCUCGUAGAGGGGGGUAGAAUUCCAGGUGUAGCGGUGAAAUGCGUAGAGAUCUGGAGGAAUACCGGUGGCGAAGGCGGCCCCCUGGACGAAGACUGACGCUCAGGUGCGAAAGCGUGGGGAGCAAACAGGAUUAGAUACCCUGGUAGUCCACGCCGUAAACGAUGUCGACUUGGAGGUUGUGCCCUUGAGGCGUGGCUUCCGGAGCUAACGCGUUAAGUCGACCGCCUGGGGAGUACGGCCGCAAGGUUAAAACUCAAAUGAAUUGACGGGGGCCCGCACAAGCGGUGGAGCAUGUGGUUUAAUUCGAUGCAACGCGAAGAACCUUACCUGGUCUUGACAUCCACGGAAGUUUUCAGAGAUGAGAAUGUGCCUUCGGGAACCGUGAGACAGGUGCUGCAUGGCUGUCGUCAGCUCGUGUUGUGAAAUGUUGGGUUAAGUCCCGCAACGAGCGCAACCCUUAUCCUUUGUUGCCAGCGGUCCGGCCGGGAACUCAAAGGAGACUGCCAGUGAUAAACUGGAGGAAGGUGGGGAUGACGUCAAGUCAUCACGGCCCUUACGACCAGGGCUACACACGUGCUACAAUGGCGCAUACAAAGAGAAGCGACCUCGCGAGAGCAAGCGGACCUCAUAAAGUGCGUCGUAGUCCGGAUUGGAGUCUGCAACUCGACUCCAUGAAGUCGGAAUCGCUAGUAAUCGUGGAUCAGAAUGCCACGGUGAAUACGUUCCCGGGCCUUGUACGCACCGCCCGUCACACCAUGGGAGUGGGUUGCAAAAGAAGUAGGUAGCUUAACCUUCGGGAGGGCGCUUACCACUUUGUGAUUCAU